rnacentral:rRNA from 1 species
AAUGAACGCUGGCGGCAUGCCUUACACAUGCAAGUCGAACGGCAGCAUGACCUAGCUUGCUAGGUUGAUGGCGAGUGGCGAACGGGUGAGUAAUGCAUCGGAACGUGCCUUUUAGUGGGGGAUAACGUAGCGAAAGUUACGCUAAUACCGCAUAUUCUCUGAGGAGGAAAGCAGGGGACCUUCGGGCCUUGCGCUAGAAGAGCGGCCGAUGUCGGAUUAGCUAGUUGGUGAGGUAAAGGCUCACCAAGGCAACGAUCCGUAGCGGGUCUGAGAGGAUGAUCCGCCACACUGGGACUGAGACACGGCCCAGACUCCUACGGGAGGCAGCAGUGGGGAAUUUUGGACAAUGGGCGCAAGCCUGAUCCAGCCAUGCCGCGUGAGUGAAGAAGGUCUUCGGGUUGUAAAGCUCUUUCGGCUGGGAAGAAAUCGCACCCUCUAAUACAGGGUGUGGAUGACGGUACCAGCAUAAGAAGCACCGGCUAACUACGUG